AUUCAUAGCUGUAAAUAAAGCAGAAUAAGAUCAAAGAAAUGGUAGUUUUACGGAGUGGGAUUUGUUUAUUUGGCACAGGCUUCUUCAGAACACAGAAAAAUAACGUUUUAACCCAUAAGCUGCAGGUUUUAUUAUCAAGAUUAAUUGUGGUGAAAAACAGAUGCCAAGUAAAAUUCACAUGGAAGCACCAGGAACACUUGCUGAUGUAUGAUCAUUUGUUAUUUUAAUUCAAUAAGCAAAACAGAGCUGCAGAGGUUAGCUAGUGGGUUCUGGAUCUGAUUCUGACCAGGACAGUUCAUGCAUGGAGUUUUUGUGUUAGGGGACACUUCACUACCACUUUAAUACAAGGGGGAGCAGAGCCAGUGAAGCAACAGUCAUCCCAUAUGUGGCUGGUUGGUGCACACUAAAGACCCUACACCAAAGCACAUGAAGGGUAAUGUGGUCUAUGCUAUCAAGUGUAGUGAAGAGUGCUUGGAUCACAAAGACUAAGGGAGACAAAAUAAACACUCUGUAAGGGAAUGGCCCGACAAAGAAAGGUCAACACCUCAGGACAAGACUCAGCAGACUACAUCUCAAGGGAAAGGGACGCUCAUUUGAGGACAACAAUGUGCAAAUUUUGAUAGUUUCAAAGAGGCCAUGUAUGCCAAACUGGAAAACACAUCCCUGAACAGAGGAGGAGGAGCCCUGCAACACUGCUUGUCAUCAAUGUACAAUGCCGCUUUCACAUCCUUACCAUGGCGGCUUCACAACAAUUUACACUUCCAGUCAUAUAUGUUGAAAAAUUAACACCUGCCUCAAUGAUAAUCAUAGUACCAUUGUGACUUUCACUUUCAAUUAAAGUCCAGUUGCCUUUGACUUAAUUCUACUAGAUAAUGUAUAUCAUGACCUGGAUAAAUGAGAAUCUUCAUACAUUUGCUACUACUAUGAUGAGCAGUGACAUUAUUUACAUUUGUUACUAAAAAGAAUCCACCAAAAUGCCAUCUCAGUUACUACUAAGACUAUAUGAUAACAUUACAUAGCUAAUUUGGGCUGAGGAAAAACAACAGACAAGUUCAACCCCUCCCUAAGAUCCCCAGCGCAUGCAUACACACACCUAUACAUACAGUAGCAGUGGCGGAACUACGGGGGGAGCAGGGGGUGCGAGCGGGCCAUGGCCCGCACCCCCUCGGCAGCCCGUGCGCCACUGAAAAUGCGGCCGUACGGAGGGGGGCGGGGCCCAGCUGCGCGUAACGCACCAGGGCCCGUCCCCCUCUAGUGACGCUACUGUACAGUAGUUACAUAGUAGUUUAGGUUAAUUAAAGACAUUCCCAUGCAUUCACCUUUUGUCUAAAUGAAACCUGCCUAAUUCUUUCAGGAAAUACUUAGUUAAUUAACACAAGUAUUCAUUGUAAAAAUAUUUAACAUAAUGCACACUCAUGUUUAUCAUGAACAAAUGUCCCCAAAACCAUUAAAAUAACAAGAGUGCCAAUCACACCCUCUGAUGAUGUCACAGAUCCACCCACCAUCAUGAAAAAGAAACAUCAGUGUAAAACUGUUACAACUGGAUUUUGCAAAGGCACAUUAUUAUGUAUCUAAAGAUUCAAUAUAUUUCAUAUUUGUGUUUUAAUAGAAUAAGAAGUACACCAAUCCAUGAAUAUGAAAAUACUAGUGAAACUAGAUUGCAGAAAUAUUAAACUGAAGACAGCUUCCACAGUAAUCACCUCUUUUAGGUCACUCGUUCCACUCACUUGUAGAGUAAGAUUACUCAUUCACCCUGAUGCAGUUACUUACCAAAACAGCUCUGUAGGCCUUGGUCCUAUAAACAAGAUUGAGUCCUUUACAUGUAAAUCGUAGACACAAAAUUCCAUGUGUUGCCAGAUAGUUUGCCAAGGAUACCAGAUGGGGGAAAUUCAUGUCUCCUCCCGCUCCAUGUGUUAGUAUCACUCCAUGCUUUACAGAAUCCGAUGCUCCAGGAACAGAAAACACAGCAUCAAGGUACUUUUCGCCAAAUGGAAUUUUAAUCCUGUCCUACAGUACAUGUAAAGACAAUAAUACUGCUAAUUACUUGUAAAUUAUAUUUUACAUUUUAGCCUAAGAAAUCAAAGGGGAUCUGUUGCUAUCAUAAAAAAAAGUCUAUGGAACUUAAGUGGAUUUGAUCUAAUUGGGGCAGAUUUACUAAAGGGCAAAGCAGCCAUUGCUAGCGAAAAUUCGCCAGAAAUCCCUCUCGCAGGCACAUCAUCAAGCGGGUGAAUUUUCGCUCAGGCAAACGAUCGUUACUCCACAAAUUCACUAAAGUGCGAAUUUUACAGAACGUAACCUCUUUUGCCAGACUUUCCUUCUCCACCUUAGACCGGCGAACUGAUAAUAUGAAGCUACAUCCUCCUCAA